rnacentral:rRNA from 1 species
UAAAUCAGUUAUCGUUUAUUUGAUAGUACCUUAAUACUUGGAUAACCGUGGUAAUUCUAGAGCUAAUACAUGCUGAAAACCCCAACUUCGGGAGGGGUGUAUUUAUUAGAUAAAAAACCAACGCCCUUCGGGGCUUCUUGGUGAUUCAUGAUAACUUAACGGAUCGCAUGGCCUUGCGCCGGCGACGGUUCAUUCAAAUUUCUGCCCUAUCAACUUUCGAUGGUAAGGUAUUGGCUUACCAUGGUUUCAACGGGUAACGGGGAAUUAGGGUUCGAUUCCGGAGAGGGAGCCUGAGAAACGGCUACCACAUCCAAGGAAGGCAGCAGGCGCGCAAAUUAUCCAAUCCCGACACGGGGAGAUAGUGACAAUAAAUACUGAUACAGGGCUCUUUUGGGUCUUGUAAUUGGAAUGAGUACAAUUUAAACCUCUUAACGAGGAACAAUUGGAGGGCAAGUCUGGUGCCAGCAGCCGCGGUAAUUCCAGCUCCAAUAGCGUAUAUUAAAGUUGUUGCAGUUAAAAAGCUCGUAGUUGAACCUUGGGUCUGGCUGGCAGGUCCGCCUCACCGCGUGUACUUGUCCGGCCGGGCCUUCCUUCUGGAGAACCUCAUGUCUUUUAUUAGGCGUGUUGGGGACCAGAACUUUUACUUUGAAAAAAUUAGAGUGUUCAAAGCAGGCCUUUGCUCGAAUACGUUAGCAUGGAAUAAUAGAAUAGGACGUGCGGUCCUAUUUUGUUGGUUUCUAGGACCGCCGUAAUGAUUAAUAGGGACAGUCGGGGGCAUCAGUAUUCAAUUGUCAGAGGUGAAAUUCUUGGAUUUAUUGAAGACUAACUACUGCGAAAGCAUUUGCCAAGGAUGUUUUCAUUAAUCAGUGAACGAAAGUUAGGGGAUCGAAGACGAUCAGAUACCGUCGUAGUCUUAACCGUAAACUAUGCCGACUAGGGAUCGGGCGAUGUUCUUUUUCUGACUCGCUCGGCACCUUACGAGAAAUCAAAGUUUUUGG